GAAAGCAUCUAAGCAUGAAGCCCCCCUCAAGAUGAGAUUUCCCAUGGCGCAAGCUAGUAAGAUCCCUGAAAGAUGAUCAGGUUGAUAGGUCAGAGGUGGAAGCGUGGCGACAUGUGGAGCUGACUGAUACUAAUAGAUCGAGGACUUAACCAAC
rnacentral:rRNA from 1 species